CUGAACAACUUGAAAGUCAUU
ensembl:piRNA 21ur-315 ncRNA